rnacentral:rRNA from 1 species
CACGUAGGAGACAAGCGUUAUCCGGAUUUACUGGGCGUAAAGCGCGUGCAGGCGGUUUGGAAAGUUGGAUGUGAAAGCUCCCGGCUUAACUGGGAGAGGUCAUUCAAAACUUCCAGACUAGAGAGUGGUAGAGGAAGGUGGAAUUCCGGGUGUAGUGGUGAAAUGCGUAGAUAUCCGGAGGAACACCAGUGGCGAAAGCGGCCUUCUGGACCAUUUCUGACGCUCAGACGCGAAAGCUAGGGUAGCAAACGGG